rnacentral:tRNA from 1 species
AGAGAUUUAGGUUAAUUAUUAGACCAAGAGCCUUCAAAGCCCUAAGCGAGAGUGAGAACCUUUCAACCUCUG